rnacentral:rRNA from 1 species
UACCAGCACCCCGAGUGGUCGGGACGAUUAUUGGGCCUAAAGCAUCCGUAGCCGGUCCUACAAGUCUUCCGUUAAAUCCACCUGCUUAACAGAUGGCUGCGGAAGAUACUAUAGGGCUAGGAGGCGGGAGAGGCAAGCGGUACUCAGUGGGUAGGGGUAAAAUCCUCUGAUCCAUUGAAGACCACCAGUGGCGAAGGCGGCUUGCCAGAACGCGCUCGACGGUGAGGGAUGAAAGCUGGGGAGCAACCGG